ACGGCUCCAACGGAACGGACGGAUCCACAAUGCAUUGCGCGUCCGUCCCCAUUGAAAGUCAAUGGGGAUCAGUCGACGGACGCAUGUAGUGGGCACGGGGUAUUAGGGUCUAAUGCCGCGUUUCCACUGCAGGGUGCGGUAUGGUUCGGUUCGCCUCAGUCCGGUAGGGAGGGGGCGGUAUAGCCCAGCUCAGAGUGGUAGAUAUAACAGAGUGGCGACACUUCCAUUGGACUCCAUUGUAGCGCCUACUUCCGGGGUAUGGAGCCUCGAAUAGUUCCAAACAACCAUUUUACGGCGUAGGAGAUCAUUCAUUUCCAUUGCUGGCCGUCGAGUAACUUCUAAGACGACCGAUUGCCUGCUGGUGUUAACUCGACUUCGCCAUGUGAAGUUGCCUUAUUAGGUCCUCCUCAGUCGCCCCAUCAGUCCCUGGCAGUCUGGUUCCUGGAGCAGCUGGCCCUUGCAAAGUUAUUCCUUCACUGUUGACCCCUGACUGACUGGCCCUCGGCACACACAUCCCUGGAUCACCUGCCCCUGGAUCACCUGCCCCUGGCAAAGUGGCCUCUUGAUUGCUCUCUCUGUCUCCUGUCAUGUCCUUUUCAUGGCUCCGAUCAUCAAUCUCUGUAACAAUUACAAGGUAAUGUUGCUGUUAUAUGUAUUUUGCCUUUGCAUUUGCAACUACUGUCAUCUCCAAUGUAAGGCAAUGUAAGAAAAUGUAUUAGAGCGAAACAUUUCUGUAAUGUGAAUUAAAUCAUCUGCCACAAUCAGAAACCAAUAGAAUGUAUAAAUGGAUCUACCGGCAAUUGUUGAUUGGGUAGAAAUGUGUUGAUUAUUGUGUGCAAAUCCUCAGAGAAUCCCUGACCUCUGGUUGUUUUUUGAACUCAAUGUACAAAUAUGAAUUAUGCAAUCUCAUUAGGAGUGUAGUCUAUCCUUGAAUUACAUGAAAUGGGGAACUUUGAAUAUUUGGCCUGUUAAGCCCUUUGAGACUGUAAUGGUGAUUAAGGCCUAUACAAAUAAAAUUGAAUUGAAUAUUGUUGGCUGCAUGGAUCACACCGAAGUUUAAUUUGGCGCAAUAUGUGUGGUCCGUUGCACUUGGUUCUGGAGGCACCCUCACAGAAGGGGGUUUCCUCUUCUUCGGCUUAGGGCGAUGAAUGAAAACUGUUGGGACUGCAUCAGGCCUCAACUUCAACAUCCCUUCUCUUUUUGUGGCAGUGAAUUGUUCAUCUUCAAAGUGUACCUGUAGGUAGGCUUGUAAGAUCAGUUUCCAUUGCACUUCAAAUAUCUUAGAAAAGUCAUAAUUC
ensembl:lncRNA